rnacentral:rRNA from 1 species
UUGUUGCGGUUAAAACGUUCGUAGUUGAAUUUGUGUCCCACACGGGUAAUUGGCCCACUUACGGGUUCUUAUUACUUGCCGGCUUGCUGGCUUUAGUGUGCGGACGUUUUACCGGUGAGGGAAACGGUGUAGUUUCGGCUGCAAUACGCCCCUUAUUUAUUUCAUAAACCCGUCUUGGUGCUUUUAAUCGAGUGCCAAUGUGGGCCGGUACUAUUACUUUGAACAAAUUAGAGUGCUUUAAGCAGGCUAAAUUUAAUGAAAGUUAAAACGCCUGAAUAUAUUUUGCAUGGAAUAAUGGAAUAGGACCUCUGUUCUACUUUCAUUGGUUUUUAGACCAGGAGGUAAUGAUUAAUAGAAGCAGUUGGGGGCAUUAGUAUUACGAGGCGAGAGGUGAAAUUCGUAGACCCUCGUAAGACUAACUUAAGCGAAAGCAUUUGCCAAGGAUGUUUUCAUUAAUCAAGAACGAAAGUUAGAGGAUCGAAGGCGAUCAGAUACCGCCCUAGUUCUAACCAUAAACGAUGCCAGCUAGCAAUUGUAUGUAGCUACUAAUUUUGGUUCAUACAGUCGCUUUCCGGGAAACCAAAGCUUUUGGGCUCCGGGGGAAGUAUGGUUGCAAAGCUGAAACUUAAA